rnacentral:rRNA from 1 species
CACGUAGGGCGCAAGCGUUGUCCGGAAUUAUUGGGCGUAAAGAGCUCGUAGGUGGUUUGGUAAGUCGGAUGUGAAAUCUCCAGGCUCAACCUGGAGGGGUCAUUCGAUACUGCCAUGACUAGAGGUCGGUAGGGGAGUGUGGAAUUCCUGGUGGAGCGGUGAAAUGCGCAGAUAUCAGGAGGAACACCCGUAGCGAAGGCGGCACUCUGGGCCGAUUCUGACACUGAGGAGCGAAAGCGUGGGGAGCGAACAGG